rnacentral:rRNA from 1 species
GACGUAGGGCGCGAGCGUUGUCCGGAUUUAUUGGGCGUAAAGAGCUCGUAGGCGGUCUGUCGCGUCCGUUGUGAAAACUCGAGGCUCAACCUCGGGCUUGCAGUGGAUACGGGCAGACUAGAGUGCGGUAGGGGAGACUGGAAUUCCUGGUGUAGCGGUGGAAUGCGCAGAUAUCAGGAGGAACACCGAUGGCGAAGGCAGGUCUCUGGGCCGCAACUGACGCUGAGGAGCGAAAGCUGGGGAGCGAACAGG